ensembl:lncRNA
CCCACAGAGAAAACAACCGUCUUUACCAAACAGACAGAUAUACCAUCAGAGAGACUCCCAGAACCUGCAACACAAAGAAAAGGUCACCGUGAGGUUACACGAGUCUGAGCUGCUGGACACAGAAUUGACAGUCAGGUCGACCAGUGACACUGGAUCUGAGGGGGGAGGAGGUGUUUAAAGGAAAAUACACGUCAGUGGUUACUCUCCAUCAAUGUCUGACAAGUUGCAAUACUUACCUUGAACCGUGAUGUUGUAUUCAGUUAAUAUUACUGUAUCUUGAGGCCCUAUCAUUUGUGCAGUAUAAACUCCACUGUCUGCCUCUUGAAGAUUCUUCAGUUUCACAGUGAUUUCUCACAGAAAACUCAAC